CAGCAGCCGCGGUAAUACCGAGGGUGCGAGCGUUAAUCGGAUUUACUGGGCGUAAAGCGUGCGUAGGCGGCUUUUUAAGUCGGAUGUGAAAUCCCUGAGCUUAACUUAGGAAUUGCAUUCGAUACUGGGAAGCUAGAGUAUGGGAGAGGAUGGUAGAAUUCCAGGUGUAGCGGUGAAAUGCGUAGAGAUCUGGAGGAAUACCGAUGGCGAAGUCAGCCAUCUGGCCUAAUACUGACGCUGAGGUACGAAAGCAUGGGGAGCAAACAGGAUUAGAUACCCGCGUAGUCCCUGUCUCUUAUAA
rnacentral:rRNA from 1 species